rnacentral:ncRNA from 1 species
AUUAACGCGAUGAUAGGAAUUAGUAGCAUCAUCCUUUUUCUUUAAGAGAGUCAGUGGCUGGUGAGAACUGAUGAAAAAGAUGUGUGAAUCCAUCCUUGAGUGUUCGACUGAAUAACAGUAAGUCGAACCGGUGCUCACCGUUAUGAGUUAAGCCGGAAGAUUGAUCUUCAAUCUUCAACUUGGGUGGUAUCGCGGGAAGCAUAAUCAAGCUCUCGUCCCUUAU